CGAUGGUCCACCGUCGCCCAACUAAAAAUAGCAUGUAAAACCAAGUAUGCGCAUGCUCAGUGGCGGGCGCAGUAAAUGGUUAAAGUGAAAGUAGAUGUCGCCGCCAUUUUGAGUGGUUGGUAAACUGUGGUUUGUGUCCAAAUAAUUAGACGACACCAAACGCAAAGCUUAUCCCAAGGCAAUGCCCCAUUUGCGUGGUAAAGGGCAAGACGACUGUGUACCUCCGGGUAACAGACCACGUUCGCUGGGUGCAAGCGCUGAUGGCAGACCCCAUGAAGCCGUUGAUGUCAGAGGCACGUUCUUAGACCGGGCAGAAAGUGAAGAAGACAAAGCCGAGGAAUUACUACUCUUGCUGGCUGUGCGACCGGUCGGUGAUUGACCGGCUGCGUCAUAUAGAACAGGAGCACAAAAUGGAGGCUGGGACAUUCAAUUUUGUUUUCACAAGAGGGCCGUUUCCGGAAAGUCGCGAAAACUUCAGAAAAGGUGACCAGCAGACUCGCCACUCAUGAUGACUCGGCAUAGGAGGAUGAGAAGGUGGAGGAUGAGGAGGAGGAGGAAGAGGACUUUUCAUUCGUAACGCGGAAAUACUGCCUGAGCCUGGAACCCAAUGCAAGGGUGAUGCAUGGUCGG